AGGGUUAGGGCUUUGGUGAGAGCUAUGAUUUCUGCCUUUUGAGAGGAGGUUCCUGGAGCUUUCUUGGGGAAGAAAACACAUGCACAAAUCCUGGUGUAAGGAAUAUUUUAAGCAUAUAUCUUCAAUAUCAUUCAUCCAGGACCGAGCAAGACCAACACUCUUCCUCCUCCUCUGCCUACUCAAUGUGAAGACAAUGAGGAUGAACACCUUUAUGAUGCUCCACUUCCACUUAUUGAAUAGUGCUACACAUGAAACUUGUAACCAGUUACUACAGGCGAAAGCAAAUCCAUGUCUUCAGGCUGGUGUCAUCAGGGAGAGAAGCUUUGGUUUCCACAUAAGGAUAUAAGAUCAUUGAUGUAAAACAAGUGAGUUUCACUUUAUACCCAGGACAUGUAACCUCUCAAAUUGAGAGAAUGGAUUGGAGAGAUAUUGUUGACCAUGUUUUCCCCUGUAUCUCACCUUCCCCUCUCCAAGACUUCCUUGUCAGUUACCCAUAUUGAUAUCAGUUUAUCCACAUCCAUGCUUUCAAGUUUAAACAAAGAAACUAGGCAAAGGCAGCUAUGUAUUCGCUAGGAUUAGGGAGGAGAAGAUAAUGAACCACUGGAUAGUGAGAAGAAAGAGAGGUGGAGAAAGUGAGAGACCCCAGUAACAGAGGACAGGGACACAUUGCUAAGGAUAGGGACACAUUCACUGUAAUAUAGAAGGCCAUGCUUAUAUGUAAAAUAUGCAGUAAUUGUAUAUAUAUGUACAAAAGUGAUGACACACAUAUGCACAUAAACAAAACACAAUUACUGUCUAUGUUUCUUUAUUUGUGACCUAAUGUUUUAUGUUGUUUGUAACUGAAAAAAAAAUUCCCUUCUGAAUAAAAUGUCAAUU
rnacentral:lncRNA from 1 species